UUUUUCUUUGGGUAAAAUAAUUAGAGUUAACUCCUGGAAAAAUAAUCAGAAUAUUUAAAGGAAAUGUCAGUCUUCUUUAAAAAGUGGUUGGUUUCCUAACACAGAACUCAAAAAUUUCUAAAUAUCCAGAAAAACUGCAAGUUUACAUUUAUCUACUUAUAUUUUUAGUAUAUGAUAAAAUCAUUUGAUUUUCUAAGUAGGCCUAAGUUUUAUCUUUAAAAUUAAUAACACCUUAAAAAUAAACUUGGGAGUUCCUGUUGUGGCCCAGCAGAAUGGCCCAGCAGAAACGAGUCUGACUUGUAACCCAGAGGACGCAGCUUCAAUCCCUGGACUUGCUCAGUGGAUUAAGGAUCCAGCAUUGCCAUGAGCUGUGGUAUAGGCCGCAGAUGCGGCUCAGAUCUGGCGUUGUUGUGGCUAUGGUGUAGGUCUGUGGCUACAGCUCUGAUUGGACCCCUGCCUACGAACCUCCACAUGCCUCGGGUAAGGACAUAAAAAGACAAAAAAUAAAUAAACACUUGAGUUGCAAAGACAUAUUUAAAGGUUAUCUUAAGAUAUAAUUCUUAGGUAAAAAGUUGACUUGAGGAGUUCCCACUGCAAUACAUGGGUUAAGAAUCCAAUUGCUUCACUUUGGGUCACUGUAGAGGCAUGUAUUCAAUCCCUGGCCUGGUGCAAUGGGCUAAAAGAUCCUGUGUAGGUCACAGCUGCAGCUGCAGAUUCAAUCUGGCCCAGGAAAUUCCAUAUGCUGCAGGUGUGGCCCUAAAAAUUUUUUAAAUAAAGAAUAAGCAUAUAUAUAUAUAUAUAUAUAUAUUUCACAUAUAAAAUAUUUAGACUAAUAUCUGGAACUUAAAUGUUUAUAGAUAUCAAGUACUGUCAUUACUUACAGAAGCCUCUGCUAGUUACAAGAUGGGCACUGUGAACACAAUUCAGGACCAUUGUCAACACUAGAAUGGUCUCUUCAAAAUGCUCUCUAUAUAAAGAGCCAAAGCACUGUUAAAGCAGAAGACUUACAGUGUGUACGUGUGCACCACAAAUAUUUUUUAGUGAUAGGUACUACUGUGUUUUUAAGCAACACCUUUAGCAACAAGACAAAAGAUAAAAAGUUCGUUAAGGAAUUAAGAGGGAUCAGCCUUUUGCAAUUAUUUUAUUAUAAAAUAUUAAAAUAACAAAUCCAAAACAAAAACUUCUCCAUAAUCCUAUCACAGUGUUUUCAUGUGUUCAUGUUAUUUUCUAUUCCUUGUCUACAUGCAUGUUCAGUUUUUACAUAUUUACAGUAACAAUAUAGAUUACAUUUUCACUUAACAUUAUACCUUGAGUAUUUUCCAUUUUGCAAAGUUUUCCCCUAGUCUCCCUUUCCUUCUCAACUCCACCUGCUAAAUGUAAUCAAGGGUAACGGCCUGACGUGUCCUCCACAACUUUCUCCAAGCUCAUACAUAUAACAAGUAUAGACAUAUAUAUGAAAAGAAGAGAAAGAUCAGUUUGUUUUUACAAAUACUGAAGCAUAUUACUUAUACACAUGAUUUCUCUUUCUUCUAAUCAUACCAAACAUACAUAUCUAAAUACACAGAAAAGUUUAAGUAUAAAAAUGGAUACAACUUAUUAGAUCACAUAAUAACAUAUACACUUAUAAAAGUUAUUAUCUUGAAUGUAAACUUUGAAAAGAUAAAGAGAUUUCACAAAAAAAAAUAUGGGCACCAGAUUUAGUGAGAUCUCAUGCUUUGUAACAGUUUAUUGUUAAUAGUCAUGCAUAAAAUAAUCCCACUAUUUACAAGCCUACCUAAUGAACUUUAAAACUUAUUUCAGAAAAUAAAAAUUUUACAGUCUUAAAAAAGCACAUAAAUAGCAUCUCAAAAAAUAUCCUGACUUUAAAGUAAGAGAAUGUGAGCUCUGUGGAUAUAAUUCUGGCCUUCAUAUGAACUUGGUUCUUUCUACAGCAGAGAUGACAAAUGGACAUAGAUAUAGUGCUGACCCACCCAAAUAUUCAGCUUCCCCAUGUUUACGAUUGAGGGGCUAGCAUUUAGAUACAUUCUGAAUACAAUAAAAUCAAUCAUUAACACCUAUUGUCCUAAGUGCCCACAAACAUAAAAAUAAGACACCAGGCAGACCUACAAAGAAUUUAAGGUUGUUAACGCAAUGGUUUUAAAACACACUCUCCCAUCUAACCAUAAUCCAGAAUAAUCAGAAGAUCCUUAAAUCUGAAUCAGAAGAGAACUUGGUGUAUAUAAAGGGUAAUAUGAAAGAUUAACAGAAGGUCUCCAAAUCACAAACCAGGUACACAAGCCACAGAAUCUCUAACGUAAGAGGACAACCUCUCUUACCAAAAAUAAAUAAAUAAAUAAAUAAGUCUUCUGAGUUCCUAUUAUGUGGAGAUCACAGGUGUGGAAGAUGAAAAAAAAGCUCUAUAAUGGCCCUACCGUUACGGAAUUCACAAUUUAACAGGAGAGUCAAAACAUAUAAUUCUAAAUGAUCAUAAACACCAUAUACCAUAGCAGAAUGCCUAGCAUAUAGUUCAUCAACUAGUACAGGUACUCAACAACUUUUUGUGACUUAUGAUUAUAAAGGUCAAAGGCAGUAAGCAUCAUAAACACAAUACCACGUCACCCAUGCAAUUUUAGAAUAAGUAAUCUAAAUUUAUCAUCUAGGCCUAUUUAACCAUCUCAAGACAAACAUAUUAUUUUAAAAGAUAUUGUACGUUUGAAUACAGUCUCCAUUAAUCUGCUUGGAGCAUGUACAUAGAAUCCACACAAAGGGAAUCCACGUCAAUGCACGCACACAAGCACACACACAAAUAAAAUGAGGGAGAAAAGCACGUGUACCAUUUAAGACAACUCUGAACAUUCUAACCGAAUAUCAAAAACAAAAUGGAUUACGGAGCCUAAAAGUCACUGACUGUAACCUUCCUCCACAAUAAAACUGGUAAAAUGAUGGGGAAAACCUGUACAAGUUCUGUGUAUAGCAUGUGUUGUUAUAAAACAAUGAAGUUUAGGGUGCUACUAGCGUGGCACCUUUUUU
ensembl:lncRNA